CUUGUUCACCUUCUGGCCCAACGCACAGAAUCAAGUUACAGUUGACAAAAAAUUAAAAAAGAACUAUCCAUACUCUGAUGAUGUCCAAAAAGCAACGAAUAGCAUCGUUGACAAUUCCAAGCAGCUCCUUAAUAUCAUGGAUAGAUGCUGUAGCGGUCAAUAUAGAGGAUUAUAUGAGUGAGACGCUUGGGAGAGAGGAAAAAAGAGAGAUCCAGCUCCUGUUUCCUGUAUUUCCUAAUUACCCACAACACUCAUUCUGAAAACGUCAUUCCUGAAGCUUUUGGAGAAAAAGAAACCUGC
ensembl:lncRNA